rnacentral:rRNA from 1 species
UGGGCAGCCCUAAACAUGCAAGUCGAGCGGCAGCACGGGAAGCUUGCUUCCUGGUGGCGAGCGGCGGACGGGUGAGUAAUGCAUAGGAAUCUGCCCGGUAGUGGGGGAUAACCUGGGGAAACCCAGGCUAAUACCGCAUACGUCCUACGGGAGAAAGCGGGGGCUCUUCGGGCCUUGCGCUAUCGGAUGAGCCUAUGUCGGAUUAGCUGGUUGGUGAGGUAAUGGCUCACCAAGGCGACGAUCCGUAGCUGGUCUGAGAGGAUGAUCAGCCACAUCGGGACUGAGACACGGCCCGAACUCCUACGGAGAGCCAGCAGUGGGGAAUAUUGGACAAUGGGCGCAAGCCUGAUCCAGCCAUGCCGCGGUGUGUGAAGAAGGCCCUCGGGUUGUAAAGCACUUUCAGUGGGGAAGAAAGCCUGCCGGUUAAUACCCGGGAGGAAGGACAUCACCCACAGAAGAAGCACCGGCUAACUCCGUGCCAGCAGCCGCGGUAAUACGGAGGGUGCGAGCGUUAAUCGGAAUUACUGGGCGUAAAGCGCGCGUAGGUGGCUUGAUAAGCCGGUUGUGAAAGCCCCGGGCUCAACCUGGGAACGGCAUCCGGGAACUGUCAGGCUAGAGUGCAGGAGAGGAAGGUAGAAUUCCCGGUGUAGCGGUGAAAUGCGUAGAGAUCGGGAGGAAUACCAGUGGCGAAGGCGGCCUUCUGGACUGACACUGACACUGAGGUGCGAAAGCGUGGGUAGCAAACAGGAUUAGAUACCCUGGUAGUCCACGCCGUAAACGAUGUCGACUAGCCGUUGGGUCCUUCGCGGACUUUGUGGCGCAGUUAACGCGAUAAGUCGACCGCCUGGGGAGUACGGCCGCAAGGUUAAAACUCAAAUGAAUUGACGGGGGCCCGCACAAGCGGUGGGAGCAUGUGGUUUAAUUCGAUGCAACGCGAAGAACCUUACCUACCCUUUGACAUCCUGCGAACCCUUCAGAGACGAAGGAGUGCCUUCGGGAACGCAGAGACAGGUGCUGCAUGGCUGUCGUCAGCUCGUGUUGUGAAAUGUUGGGUUAAGUCCCGUAACGAGCGCAACCCUUGUCCCUAUUUGCCAGCGAUUCGGUCGGGAACUUCUAGGGAGAACUGCCGGUGACAAACCGGGAGGACAGGUCGGGAACGAACGUCAAGGCAUCAUGGCCCUUACGGGUAGGGCUACACACGUGCUACAAUGGUCAGUACAAAGGGUUGCGAACUUGCGAGAGUGAGCCAAUCCCAGAAAGCUGAUCUCAGUCCGGAUCGGAGUCUGCAACUCGACUCCGUGAAGUCGGAAUCGCUAGUAAUCGUGAAUCAGAAUGUCACGGUGAAUACGUUCCCGGGCCUUGUACACACCGCCCGUCACACCAUGGGAGUGGACUGCACCAGAAGUGGUUAGCCUAACCUUCGGGAGGGCGAUCACCCAUCGGUGG